CUAUCAAAAGUAGUGGGAUAUAUCAGGUAGAAAGUAGACAUUUAGUUCUUAGGGGUGUAGUGUUUGCAGGAAUUAAUCAAAUCAAAACAGCCUGGGGAAUAGACAUGACCAAGUUGUUGACAAAGCCAAAGUAACAACUAACUUUGGUACAAUUCAACAUGUACUUCUGGCCCUCAGUCAGGUUUGAUGAUUGGCCUUGAAAAGGAAGAUAUAGAAGUAAAAGUUAUAGGUUCAUAUCUCAGGGCGGUGAUGGACACGUGCUAAUGGACAGACUCUGGAACACUUUAAAUGAUACAGUGACGGUUUGCGCAGUUUACAGAAUCAACUGUUAACGCACUUUCUCUGCGGAGGACACGCUCUACACCACUCAAUCUCCGGAGACUACGUCUGGUUCGCGAAGUGUUGAUAAAGUGUCUCGCUAUUCUUCUCCACACGACGUCUCGGACAGUGAACUGAUGGCUUCUCCUGCAGACUUGAGAGAGGCGACAUAGCGAUUUGUAGUCCAGAUCCAGUAUUCACUGCUCUUCCAGACUUGAUUUCUUGGUGGACAUGCUCAGCUGCUUGUGGAAUGCAAUUUGUUCUUUUCUUCGUUCAGCUCUUUUCCAAUUCCUCUCCAUGUCCACCCCUCACUUUGGCUCCACUAACUGCAUUGAUGUUUUUCUUCUCCUCCUGCCUCUGUUUUUUUGAAUGGCAAGCCUUUUUGACCGGGGAUCCCAUCUCAUCUUAGCAUUCAGUGUUUGUCAUUGUAGUACAUGUUUUUAUAUUGCCUUCACAAUGGACCCAUUUGAUCCUACGUUAUGGUAUGUGAUUGUCAGAAAUGCAACUACUUGAUAGGCGCUUUGUUAAGAAAGAAGUGCUAGCUUGACCUCAACCUAUUCAAAGUGCUGACCAAGUAGUUUAAGGCUCCGGAGCAGUGUUUCCAAAAAGUUCUGCUUCUAUGGUCCCUCUGCACUGCAGGUUUUACAUUUUGCCAUAUAAUUUUUUAAUGGUUUAAGUAAUUCUACAUUAUUAUAAGGUUUGUUAAUUAUCAUAUAUUACCAACCAUUAUCACUUGAUGCGUCUAAGAUUUAUUAUUUUUUUUUUUAUAUUCGAUAUUUUAAUUGAAUUAAAAAAUAUUAGCUUUGGCCUGAAGCAGGUACUUUCUGAUGUGUUAUUUUCUGAUCAGUGUGUUUGGGACCAAUUUAAAAACAUUUUAGAUAUCAGACAUAUAUAAAUGGUGCUGAGUCCCCUACAAUCAUUACUUGAUUACACAGAGAACACUAAAGAUUCUUUGAUCAGUUGUGCUCAGUGUGUGUACAUGAAAUAUGCAUCACCACAACGAGUCAGUGCUCGACAUUCCGCCCCAAUGAAUGUCCAUGUCCCCAAAACUCAAGUUUAAAAAAAAAUCAUUUAUCAUUGACGUUCCAGCUGAAUUGGCAUAAAAAAAGAGGGGGAGACUCUUUUGAUCUCUUUUGGAUGGUGCAGGGUGCUCUCUGAGGCUGGCAAACACAUUUAGCCUGUAAUUGUUCCGAACAUUCUAACAAUCAGCUUUAGAAAUGCAUGAGCAAACAAAGAUUACAGAUCCAAUUGGAAAAGUCAACAGGUCUUCCAUAAGUCCCAUUUAUAAACAAUUAAACUGUCGGGAAUCAAACUCUCCCUUUUGGUCAGUGUUUGCAUUUCAAUUAUGUCUUUCAGC